UACGUAGGGGGGCAAGCGUUGUCCGGAUUUAUUGGGCGUAAAGAGCGUGUAGGCGGCCUGACAGGUCUGCUGUGAAAACUCGAGGCUCAACCUCGAGACGUCGGCGGAAACCAUCUGGCUAGAGUCCGGAAGAGGAGAGUGGAAUUCCUGGUGUAGCGGUGAAAUGCGCAGAUAUCAGGAAGAACACCCGUGGCGAAGGCGGCUCUCUGGGGACGGUACUGACGCUGAGACGCGAAAAGCGUGGGGGAGCGAACAGGG
rnacentral:rRNA from 1 species